rnacentral:rRNA from 1 species
ACUGACAUUAGAUACCCGGGUAGUCCCAGCCGUAAACAAUGUGCGUUAGGUGUGUCGGUAACCACGCGUUACUGAUGCGCCGAAGAGAAAUCGUGAAACGCACCACCUGGGAAGUACGGUCGCAAGGCUGAAACUUAAAGGAAUUGGCGGGGAGCACCACAACAGGUGGAGCCUGCGGUUUAAUUGGAUUCAACGCCGGACAUCUCACCGGAUAAGACAGCUGAAUGAUUGUCAAUCUGAAGGUUUUACAUGACUAGCUG